rnacentral:lncRNA from 1 species
GGCCGGCCUGGCGCCGCUGCCUCCAGGCGGCCCCGCCCAGCCCCGCGGCGGGCAGGGUGGGCGGCGGCCGCCGUUUGGCCGGCGCGGGGAGCAGAGCGCGCGCAGCACUGCAGCCAACGACCCGGCGUCGCGUUUGAUUUCAGCGCGCGGCCUAGAAGAGGCGGGAAGCCGCCGGCUGCUGUAGGACAGGACUCCUAGAAAAGGAUGGAGCCAAAAGCUGGAAGGAGUCUACAUCUCUGAAUGACUGCCCCUCUCUGCAUUGAACUACAAGGCUCUAUGGGAUAGUUUUGCCUUUUCCACAAUGUCAUGCAGUUGGCCAAAUGGAUUUUAAUCUUCAUGACAACCCUGUUGCUAGGUGACUUUUAUUACCCUCAUCAGAGAAGAGAUAAAUUCAGCGAGGUGAAGUGACAUAUUUGAGGUCCCACAAAUGGAGAGUCCGAAGCCAGGACUGGAACCAACCAACAGUAUGAACAGCUGCCAAUCUCAGAAAGGGGUUAAUGCCGAGGACGUAGACCGUUAGCUUCCAGGAGACCUCUCAGCCCAGGCACUUCAGUUUCUAAUGGUAGCUGGAAGCAGGAAGAUUGCACAUCUUCAAAGGAAACUGGCUGUCUGAUAUUGGUUAGAUGAGACUCAGAGGUGACUUCAGAGACAAUGGGUCUAGUGCCCCAUAAUUAAGAAGGAAGGCCAGUCUCUGCCGGUCUGACUCAGAAAGCUGACUGACUCAUCCUAUUUGUCCUCUCUGCUGCUAUUUAUGGGCUUCCCAGUUGCUAAUAUUUGUUGGUUAAAUGCUCACACAACCAGUCUUGCCGAAA